rnacentral:rRNA from 1 species
UACGUAGGGGGCAAGCGUUGUCCGGAAUCAUUGGGCGUAAAGAGCGUGUAGGCGGCCCGGUAAGUCCGCUGUGAAAGUCCAGGGCUCAACCCUGGGAUGCCGGUGGAUACUGUCGGGCUCGAGUCCGGAAGAGGAGUGUGGAAUUCCUGGUGUAGCGGUGAAAUGCGCAGAUAUCAGGAAGAACACCGAUGGCGAAGGCAGCUCUCUGGGACGGUACUGACGCUGAGACGCGAAAGCGUGGGGAGCGAACAGG